GAUGAACGCUGGCGGCGUGCCUAAUACAUGCAAGUCGAGCGAAAAGACGAUGAGCUUGCUCCUUCGACGUUAGCGGCGGACGGGUGAGUAACACGUAGAUAACCUACCUAUAUUUCUGGGAUAAUUUCGGGAAACCGGAUCUAAUACCGGAGAAUAUUCUGAACCGCAUGGUUCGAUAGUGAAAGACGGCUUUGCUGUCACUUAUAGAUGGAUCUGCGCUGUAUUAGCUAGUUGGUAAGGUAACGGCCUACCAAGGCAACGAUGCGUAGCCGACCUGAGAGGGGGAUCGGCGACACUGGAACUGAGACACGGUCCAGACUCCUACGGGAGGCAGCAGUAGGGAAUAGUACGCAAUGGGCGAAAGCCUGACGCAGCAAGGCCGCGUGAGUGAUGAAGGCCUUCGGAUCGUAAAACUCGGUUAUUAGGGAAGAACAGACGUGGAAGUAACCGUGGACGUCUUGACGGUACCGAAUCAAAAAGCACCGGCUAACUACGUG
rnacentral:rRNA from 1 species